rnacentral:lncRNA from 1 species
CUAAAAGCUCGGUCGCGCCGUUUGUCGUGACACCAAAUUUCAGUAGUCGUUCAGACGCUCCGUUGUCCAUAUCGGAGUCACGUGAACAUCUCGCCACCAGCCCAAGUCCUGACGUCCUUCCUCCCCAUCUUGUACUAAAACCUACACAAUAGGGUCUGGAACCGAAUGAGACACCAGCGUCUGUCCAACUGAAGGACUGGGACCCACACUCACGGGACGGUGACCACACCUCCACCAU